GACGAACGCUGGCGGCAGGCCUAACACAUGCAAGUCGAACGCUCCAGCAAUGGAGAGUGGCAGACGGGUGAGUAACGCGUGGGAACCUUCCCUAUGGUUCGGAAUAGCUCAGGGAAACUUGAGGUAAUACCGGAUAAGCCCUUCGGGGAAAGAUUUAUCGCCAUUGGAUGGGCCCGCGUAGGAUUAGCUAGUUGGUGAGGUAACGGCUCACCAAGGCGACGAUCCUUAGCUGGUCUGAGAGGAUGAUCAGCCACACUGGGACUGAGACACGGCCCAGACUCCUACGGGAGGCAGCAGUGGGGAAUAUUGGACAAUGGGCGCAAGCCUGAUCCAGCCAUGCCGCGUGAGUGACGAAGGCCUUAGGGUUGUAAAGCUCUUUUGGCGGGGAAGAUAAUGACGGUACCGCAGAAUAAGCUCCGGCUAACUUCGUGCCAGCCGCCGC
rnacentral:rRNA from 1 species